UUUUAUUGUAUCACAGAAAUUUAAAUAAGAGCAAAUUUAUACGCGUAGAAUUUUAAAACACUGAUAGAGAAAGUUUAUUAUAAGGGACGAGAGAAAUGUGAGGGAUAUAUUACAAAUGAUCGAAAUCGAUCAUCUAUAUAGAGAAGAAAUUCACUGUGCAAAUAGUAUAGCGAGUUCCACAUCCUUUAUAUUUUUCAAUGUUUUCUGGCUGUCUUUCAUAACAGCUUUUUGAUUUUUGUGAAAUUAUUCAUAAUAAUGAACGGUAAUUAAACAAAAACUUAACCGGUGAAUAUUACUGAACGUUUUUAGUGGUGUAGCAAAACUCCAAAUACAAAUAUAAAAUAACCGCUAAUAACGUUUUUAAUGGUGAGUUUCGGUUAUAUUUUUCUUGGCUCAAAUUUCAUGUUAAGAAAUAUCAUAACAAAAAAAGUUGAGUUUGUAAUAAUAUUUUAAUGAUUAAAAUAAAGACAGCCAGGUGGUUUCUAGAGGGAUACUCACCAUACAUUCUCAUCAUUAUAACAUACUAUUAUUUAUUAUGAUUUAGAAAUUCUUAUAUUUCGUUUAUAACAUAUUAUUUAUUAUGAUUUACAAAUUCUUACAUUUUCAGUUGCAAAAAAAAAAAAAAAAAUCUUAUAUUUCGUUUAACAUGAUUCAUUAAUUUAUGACCAGUGACAACGUACUUGUGGUAAUGUCGGUGAGAACUUUAGUUGUAUGCCCGGCUGCAAUUCCUUUUAAUAGUUCUUUUUUUUGUGCUACUACACACACAUUCAUUUCGUAAUUUUAAAAGUUUACAUUCCAUGAUCGGAGGAGUUUAGUAACGAGAGAGCUGAUUUUGCCACAGAAUCAGCCAUCCCAUUACCCACCCGAAAUACAUACGAGAAGGAAACAACACCAAACAAAACACUAAAAUAAUAGAUGUCAAAUAAAAUACCGAACAAAACUGGUACCGAUCCACGACCCUUCAAGAGCUUGACCAGGGAGAGAGAAUCAGACAGGAUCAUCAGGGAUUUGAUAUUCAACGAGGCAGCAUACAUCACUGCCGAACGGACAGGCGAGGCAUUCAGCCAUUAACGCCGAAGAAACGUGUUUGCGCGAGCUACUGAUAGGUUCCAGUGGCACCCGAUCGCUACAACCCGAAAAAACUCCCCCUGUUCCGCGAUAUCCAGUGUGCGCAUCCCAUGCUCCAUCAACAUUACAUAUCAGGAGGUACCAAGGGAGAGCGUGGGCUAACGGAUAGAGGGGUGGAGCGUUGAGACUUGUGCUGCUCCUUUUAAUAGUUCUUCAUGUCCUCUAGUUUCGUUUCCACUAAUUAUUUUCCAAAUUCAAAAUUAAAUAAUUUUCACGGGCCCAUUUACCACAUAAUAUACAAAACACCUUAAUAGAUAAAUCAAAUGUUUGCCGAAAAAGAUAAUGAAAUGUUUACAUUUUAUUUUACAUAUGCCAUAAAAUAAUCUGAGUCUUUGCUGGAAUGAUGGAAACUAAAUUGGGUAAAAAUGAAAUAAUCCAUGAUUUAUGAUCUGUGGCACGUGCCAAAAGGUAUUUCCUUUAGCUAUUGUCGAAUCGACGAAUUCUUCUUUCAAUAUAUAAUACGAAAGCGUGUAUAGUGAUAGUAUGGGUCCAAUCUUUAUACACAGGUCAUAGAUUCAGCUUAGUUAGAUACUUUCAAGCGAAUUAUAAUUUUGUGAAAUAAAUUAGUUAGACUUGCUGCUUAAUUUAGAUGAAAGUUAGGCUUGAGGUUUAAACCAUUGACAAAACAACAACCAGAAAAAGUUAGGUUGUUGAGUUUUAAUAAUAAAAAAUGGGAGAUCAUUGGUUCUUCAAUUGAAUAGUUUCAAAAAGAAGAAUAUGAUAUUAAAAAAUGUCAAAAGAGACAUUUUUUUGACAUUCGAGACAUUAAAGUUACAAGGUAUAGGUAAAUAACACUAUGAAAUCAUAGUGAACCAGAUUUUGAAACUUGACUACGUUUUUCUGGGAGAGAAUUUAUAGAGUUUUCUUAGUUUUAUUUGCAGAAAAAACACUAUCAUCAUACUGCCAAAACGACACUGGGAAAUAACUGACCCUAUUAUAAAGGUGGUCCCAAGUGACUGAAAUAUUGGUCCCAAAUGGUGCUUACAACAUGUUUGGGCUCAUAUGGAGACAAUAAUGCCCAAUCAUGUUUUAAGAUAUUCAAAAGUUGAAAAUAAACUUUUUAAUCGGCUUUAAAUUGGAAAACUCAGUCUCCACCAUUUACAUCUUUGUAAAAGAUAAUUCCAAUUUAUCCCAUCCAAAUUUAUUGAUAAGAAUAAAUAAAAUAAUUAAGAACUAUGUGUAAACUUUUACCAAAAAAAAAAACUAUUGUGUAAACCGUUGCACGCAUGGUAGUGAUUGUAGACUCAAAUUUGCGGCCAUAGAAAAUAGGCACAAGAGAAUAUAGUCGAUUUCGUAUUUUGAAACAUUGUUGUUUUGUCAUACGCUUGUCGAUGGACAUUGGUAUGAUCAUGUCUGUUUUUAUUUAUAAUUUUUGAAAAUUCCGUUCAUUAUUUUUGGUAUAUAAAUCACCCAUCCCAAAUAAAGGAUUGUUGUCAUACCAUUUCUUGUUCUUCAUAUCAUUAUAAAUUGAGUUAAAAAAAAUCAAAACUAAAGUUAAAAAGAGAUAAUUUUAUAAAACUUCCACACAUAAAAAUUGCCAGAGAUAAACUUGUUUUGGACAACUACACGUGACCGCAUGCUCAUCUAAUAUCUUGUCAAACGUUACUUAUGCUUUUUUUUUAUGUUGUGACCCAAGUUUUAUCGCCAUGCAUAUUGAAUGUUCUCCUCAAUAAGUUGAGCUUUCUCUAAAUUUGAAUAGGUCUGUCAGUUGAUCUUUAAAAAUGAGAUGUGAAAGGAAUUAAGAUGGGAAAUAGCAAGGAACAGAAUAAGCAUGUACACUUUUGGUAAUAUUAUUAAGACUAAUAUUCUCUUUUUUGUAACUCUUAUCUUUUUCUUGUUUAUCCAUUUAACGUUUGGUUCUACGAAAAUAACAGAUGCACGCAUACUUCGUGAUCCUCCCUUACUUAAUCUCAUGAGGCAAGGGCUUAGACAAUCUCUCUUUUCUCUUUGAAAUUAUGGACCGUAGACUUGGUCUAGGUGUUUUGGUUGGUUUAUCAUUAUUCUUUUUCUAGUCUUUUUUUGCUUCUAAAAUUUUAAAAUAUAGACAUUAAAAUUCUCUUGGUUAUAUAUGCAUAUGACACUUGCGCAUAUUAACAUUCUGCAUAGAGAUUUUUGUGUUGAUCACUGUAUCUCCGGUACACAGAAGGAAGGUGAAAUUCAGAUUCAUGAGUACAUAAAAGGAAGCAGAUGCGUUUGGUGGGGUUAUGACUUAUGAGGUUCUUGGCUAUGGAAGAGAUAGGAAGGUGAUUUUAGAAGCGCCGUUGUACGAUAAAGAUUGCGUUUUAGGCAAUAAUUUGGCUGCGCAUUACCUUUUCUCUUCGGACAUUUCCAGAGCCAAAACCUAUGCUCGAGCUGCAGAAUACCAUCUUGGGAAAGCCACUCCUUAUGAAAAAGCAUUUUUCGAGGCUGUUAAUUACUUGAUCUCUGAUAAUAUGGACGAAGAUGUGGCUUUGGAGUUACACUCUAAGCUCUUGAAAAACUUUCCGAAAGAUUUUCUAUCUUGAAAAACUCGAUUCUGUGUUUCUACAUGGGCCGACCUGAUCUCUCUUUGCCUCUUUUUGAGGAGAUCCUACCUGAGAAUCAAGAACAUGACUAUGUUUAUGGUAUGCUUGCAUUCUCCUUAUUGGAGCGUGGACAUUUAGCAGAAGCUGAGAAAGCGGCUAGGAAAGGAUAUGAGAUCAACAAAAACGACUCUUGGGCUCAUCAUUGUUUGUGUCAUGUUCUUCAAACUGAAUGUCGUUUCAAAGAAGCAGUAGAGUUCAUGGAAGCAUGCUCAGCUUCAUGGGAUUCAUGCUCUUCCUUGAGGUAUUCGCAUAACUGGUGAAAUGUCGCUGUUUGUUACUUGGAAGGAGGCUACAAAAAAUAAUGAUAAUAAGAUGUGCAAAGAGCUGGAGAAAGAAGAUACUGUUGCUACAGACGUCUACAUGGAUGCUCUCGAUUUGAUGUUGCGCUUGGACACACGCGAUAAACUACCUGAGUUUUUAGACAGACUAAAAGUCCUAGCAGACUGUUUGACUGACCAAUGUUCAGAAAAUGUGGUAUCAAGAGUGGCUUUUUGAUAUUACAACAAUUUAGGCGUUGAGUAAAGUUGGAAACACUUCACAAGCACAUGUACUGCUCGAGGGCCUCAAGUCCCGAACAUGUAACAUGAACAAUAAGAAACAACAGUUGAUGCAGAAAGCGAUUCAGCGGUUAGAGUAUUGGAGAGGAGGAUAAAGCAGAGAGAUGGUGCUCCUAUCUUGUGGCAUUUGCUGGAGAAGAGUUACCUCAUGGAAGGCAAUGCAGAAGCUGUUGUAACUACAUGUGAGAAAGCCAAUGUGUUGGAAUCUUCAUAUUUCAAGUUUUCUUGAUUACACCAUAAAAACAACACCGUCUUGUUAUCCUUUAGACUAUGCUUUUGCGCUUUGUUGAAUAUAGUUAUUGUCGAUGUAAAAGCUGAACUUGAACUUUCUAUGUAAAUAAUUUUCGCUUUGACCAAGAAUAUAAAUAGACGUUUUCAUAAAUAAAUGUAGUGCUGCCAUGAUCUUCUUUCCUGCAUGAAGCAUCACCUAGUCAUAUAACUUCCAGAUGUCUACUAGUUUUGUAAUUAAUAUACAAAAAGUCAUGUUAAGACUUGUUAGUUAUUACAUGCAUGAUGCAUCACCCUAAUAACGUUCGAAGUUUCAUGAGUAAGUAAACAAAUAUUAUUUGGUGACUAUGUCUUUGAAAGCCUGACAGGUUAAC